rnacentral:rRNA from 1 species
UGCAGCGACGCCGCGUGCGGGAUGAAGGCCUUCGGGUUGUAAACCGCUUUCAGCAGGGACGAGGCGAAAGUGACGGUACCUGCAGAAGAAGCCCCGGCUAACUACGUGCCAGCAGCCGCGGUAAUACGUAGGGGGCAAGCGUUAUCCGGAUUCAUUGGGCGUAAAGCGCGCGUAGGCUGCCCAGUAGGUCGAGAGUUAAAUCCGGGGGCUCAACCCCCGUCCGCUCCCGAUACCGCUGGGAUUCGAGUCUGGUAGGGGAAGGUGGAAUUCCCAGUGUAGCGGUGGAAUGCGCAGAUAUUGGGAAGAACACCGGUGGCGAAGGCGGCCUUCUGGGCCAUGACUGACGCUGAGGCGCGAAAGCUAGGGGAGCGAACAGGAUUAGAUACCCUGGUAGUCCUAGCCGUAAACGAUGGGCACUAGGUGUGGGGAGGCUUUACUUUCCGUGCCGACGCUAACGCAUUAAGUGCCCCGCCUGGGGAGUACGGCCGCAAGGCUAAACUCAAAGGAAUUGACGGGGGCCCGCACAAGCAGCGGAGCAUGUGGCUUAAUUCGAAGCAACGCAAGA